AUACGGAGGAUCCGAGCGUUAUCCGGAUUUAUUGGGUUUAAAGGGUGCGCAGGCGGCCAUUUAAGUCAGCGGUUAAAUCGUGGGGCUCAACCCCAUUCUGCCGUUGAUACUGGGUGGCUUGAUUGCGGUCGAGGUUGGCGGAAUUCGUUGUGUAGCGGUGAAAUGCAUAGAUAUGACGAAGAACACCGAUUGCGUAGGCAGCUGACCAGACCGCAAAUGACGCUCAUGCACGAAAGUGCGGGGAUCGAACAGGAUUAGAUACCCUGGUAGUCCGCACAGUAAACGAUGAAUACUCGCUGUUUGCGAUACACUGUAAGCGGCCAAGCGAAAGCGUUAGGUAUUCCACCUGGGGAGUACGCCGGCAACGGUGAGACUUAAAGGAAUUGACGGGG
rnacentral:rRNA from 1 species